rnacentral:rRNA from 1 species
CCUACGGGAGGCAGCAGUGGGGAAUUUUGGACAAUGGGCGAAAGCCUGAUCCAGCAAUGCCGCGUGAGUGAAGAAGGCCUUCGGGUUGUAAAGCUCUUUUGUCAGGGAAGAAACGGUGAGGGCUAAUAUCCCUUGCUAAUGACGGUACCUGAAGAAUAAGCACCGGCUAACUACGUGCCAGCAGCCGCGGUAAUACGUAGGGUGCAAGCGUUAAUCGGAAUUACUGGGCGUAAAGCGUGCGCAGGCGGUUUUGUAAGUCUGUCGUGAAAUCCCCGGGCUCAACCUGGGAAUUGCGAUGGAGACUGCAAGGCUAGAAUCUGGCAGAGGGGGGUAGAAUUCCACGUGUAGCAGUGAAAUGCGUAGAGAUGUGGAGGAACACCGAUGGCGAAGGCAGCCCCCUGGGUCAAGAUUGACGCUCAUGCACGAAAGCGUGGGGAGCAAACAGGAUUAGAUACCCUGGUAGUCCACGCCCUAAACGAUGUCUACUAGUUGUCGGGUUUUAAUUAACUUGGUAACGCAGCUAACGCGUGAAGUAGACCGCCUGGGGAGUACGGUCGCAAGAUUAAAACUUAAAGGAAUUGACGG